GAGGAUCCUAUCUCCAUGCACUACAAGGUUUCACAGAGCCGAGGGGAAGGGAGCUUACUGUCUGUCUCUGGGGCGACUGAGAGAGAACAGAGUCAACUGCAUCGCAAUAGACUAAGUGGUGAACUUCUAGAGAUAGUGAAGAUUUUAAAAAUAGUUUUUUUUCCUGUGCCCUAGCCAGAACUAUGUUGCUUUAAUGGUUACAAAAGUAUUCCUCAUCCUCUUCAGAGAUGGUGUGGAGCACUUGAGCUACUGUCGGGAGGUUCAAAAGGUUCAUAUAUGUGGAUGAGGAACAUGGAUUGGAUGCCUUCAUGCUAUAGCCAUGUGUGGGCAAUGCCUGACCUGGAGCAUAGACCAAAUGCGUGCUUUGGGUCUUCCCAGUUCCACAGAGGUCUGCAACAUUUUCCUCUGCAACAGAGGAAAUCUGUGCAGAGUACAUUUUGAACAAUUCUCUGCUGCUGUGCUUGAGGGCCAGCAUACAAAGAGAUGCCUGUGCUCCUGAAUGGCUUCAAGAGGUGAAAUCCAGGGAUUCCACCCAGUCUGCUCAAAGCGAGGGCAGACACCAGCAUGGUUCUCAGCCCAGAGGUCGUUCCUACGUGUUGUGGAGAAACAUAUCCUAAGUGAGUACUUUUAGUAAAAUAUGACACUGGAUGCUUCUGAAAAGGUAAUUGUUCCCAGAAAAGACCCACAGACUCAGCCAGUGACAUGCCUCAGUGUGUAAAGGACCUUGACAACAAACAACAUGCUGUGUUUGACACCCAGGACCUGCACGGUAAAGGACUCAUACAAGUUGUUCUCUGAUCUCCACACAGCAGCUUGGAACAUAUAUGAGCAUGAGUGUGUACACUCAUACAAAUAGAUAAAUAAACUAUAAUUAGAAAACGA
rnacentral:sRNA from 1 species